GACACAUCUCUCAGGCCAGGGAAAUAGAUGACCAGGCCAGCAAGGGAACCACGAUUCCAUGGUACAGACCAGCCAAUGGAGAGCGCACUGCGUGUGCUUAGUAAAAAUUUAUGGGCCUAGUCUGGCAGAUGGAAAAGUUGAGGGGAAGCCCAGUAGCGGCAUCAUUUGGCCAUUGUGAGCGGUCCUAUUUUUCACACCCUUCCUGGGGCUAGACUCCAAACGCGCUAUAGUUGGAAAAGUUUUGCAAAACCCUUUAAGUUAUUAAGUUAUGACGCACGCACACGAAGCAUUUGAUUUUUGACUGAUAGAUUUGUUGAAAAAGACGACAGAUACCCCGCUUUUCGUUUUACCCCUUGCAACAAAAUUGGACUUGGCUCAUCAACAUUACCCACCUGACAAGCGCAGGCAGUUCCCGAAGAAGGAUAUGUAAGGAACGGACUUUCCAGGAUACAAACCUGGUUGAAAUUAGUCGGUCGCUUAUCCCUCUGGACCAAUCACACUGAAGUUAGAUUGACGGGCCCAGAUUAUAAUGUUGGAGUUCUUUCAAUGAAGUUUAGGCAAAGCAAAAGGAGACUUGGAGUAAGGCCAGGUCUAUAUUAACAUAAGAAACUUGAAUAAUAAUUUUAUUAAUAAUAUCUGCAAGCAAUUCCGGCCAGCCCUGUUUCGAUUUAAUUGCCCAUACCCCACAUCCUGCGGGAUUCUUUGUUAUAAAAAGUGGGCGAAUCGAAGGAAGGACACGUGGACAGAUGUCAAGCGCAGCAUCAAUGGGAGUCGCAAUACUGACGAAGAAAAGGCCAGGGGCUGUGGAAAACUGUGGAAAAGCGGUGUGGUGGGCGCAGAUCGAACCUUUUGUGGCACUCUGGCAGGCGGUAGUUUCCACAUCAAUUAGAUGAUGUUUACUGCAUUUGCUACAAAUUGACAAACUCGUCGAAGGCACAAAGGGAUUUUCCUACUUGCUCCCUCGGCCAAUAACCACACAAAAGGCAAUGAAAAUGUAUAAAAAAUAUGUAAAGCAAAGACAGCGGAGUCGAGGGAAGUCAGGGAAAAGCCAAAAUGAAAAUUCAAAGACAAAGAAAAUGUGCCAGAGCAGAGACAGAAAUUGUUGCUGCUUUUGGUUUGCGGCUAUGUUCAAUUCUGUUGACGUUAUCAAAAGUUGCGGCACAAAUAACAAAAACAAGACGAAGCAGCCAGACGUUAUAUAUAUGUAUUUGUAUAAAUAUGAAAAACGUAGUAAAGGAAGAAAAGGAUACAAGUAAUUUGCCAAGGGCAAUGUGGGCACAGCGGAAGUUAACAUUGAAAAGGAUUACGGCGUGCCAGAGACUCGUCUUUUGUGACCAACUCUCCCUUUCUCCAUUUCUCCGAUUUUCCGACCUCCUUCCCAACUUUCUCCGUCCGUAUCUGUGAGUCUCUGUCUCUGUGUGUUGACAACAACCAGUUGGCAUUGCCAGCUAUUGGCCCAUUUGUCCUGGCCCCUUGGGUCCUUUGGCUGCCACUGUCUUCGUCGCUGUUUCCCUCGGCAGGCGAAGGUAGAAAGUCAAAGAUUUCGUGCAAUUGGGACUUCGUUAUUAUAAGCAUUGUUAGCUUUCACACGCACUCCACAUUCAAAUUGCGGAGAAACCAAUAAAUGGGACUCAGAUUUUUUAUAAAGGCACUCGAUAUAAUAGUAUAAUAUACAAACAUAUAAAUCUAAACUUUAUAUUUAGGUUGUAUUAAUUUUCAAACAUCAUCUGCGGUGCGCAAUGUGCGUUCCCCAGUGUGUCCUUUCUACUUGGUUUGUAUGCUCAUUUUCCCGAACGGGUGUCUUCCUCCCUAAAGUUGGCCAAUUGAAAUUUGCAUUUUGAUUAGCCAACGCUGAAUGGCAGUCCAAGGUGUCCUGCUUCUCGCAUCUCAUCUCAUUAAUUUUCAUUUGCCGGAAGAAAGUGAGAGGGAAAGCGAGAGCUCAGGCAUAUGUGUUCGUAAUGACUUCGUAAUCCCCUCUUCAUGCACAAAGCUCUUUUCCACUGGCUUCGGCAAAUUAUGACAUUUACUUACUAAUUUCCUUCCUAAAUGCAUUCUCUGUGCGAGAUGUCCUUCGGCCCGAGUCCCGUGUCCUUCGACCCGCCAGUCGAGGAGCUGAGCGCCAGCUCUGCGGCCAUGAUAUCUCCACAACUGGCAUAAGUUGUUAACUUAAGCUCCAACAGCAGCUUUUACUGUCGGGCUGUGUGAGUUCCUGCCAUCCUCCGUAUUUCUCUCCGAUUUUCCCAUCGCAUUUCCCUCGGCAAUCCUUGUGCUUGUGCUUCUGUGCUUCCCGCAAGCAUUUCGAGUGUGCGGAAGGAAAUGUGAAAUUUUAAGUGAACUAGGAUUUGGCUAUAUAGACGCAGUCGACUCCUGACUCUGAAUCUGACUCUGACUGCUGACUUUUCCGACGGUCGACUGUGUUUCGGCUUGUUGGGAGUGCUCCAUGUACCAGGUUGUGAUGGCUACACACCUGCCAAAACCCAUUUUCCGCCCACCUCUGAAUCACAAAGAAAUAGCCCGAAUAAAGAUUUGCCUUGACCGUAGAAUCAAAAGUUGGGUCAAAGGUUAAUUAGAAGUUUAAGUUUGGAUUUUCUUUAAAAGCGAAUUUUAAAGCAAGUCGUUGCAAUAUAAUGAAUUAUAAUCAAUUCUUUAAAGAACAUGGUAUAUAUAUAAUAUUUUAAAACGCAGUCAGCUAUUAGUUUGGAUAUUUAAAAAGAACUAGACCUCUAAAGUACUUCUUUCCCGAACUGUUUGUAUUUAUAAAUUUAUUUAGGGCAGUAUUUACUGUGGUUUUUCGUUUGGGGGCUCAUUAAUUUGGCAAUUUGCAUGCAAAAUGCACACGCAGUGGCCAAAAUCCAGGCCCAUUCCGUUUGUCCUCGAAUGUCUGUUGGCUGUCAUUGUCUAAUGCAAUUAGAAGGAUGUUAAUGAAUUUCAUUUGUUUGUCGGCCUGUCGCAUUGUUGGCCGCUUUUUAGGUUUGUUUGCUGUUUUGUAAGCUUUUGUGCUUGUAAUUCAAAUUUUAUGGAA
rnacentral:sRNA from 1 species